rnacentral:rRNA from 1 species
AAUGAACGCUGGCGGCGCGCCUAAUACAUGCAAGUCGAGCGAGAAGACGUAGCAAUACGUUUGUAAAGCGGCGAACGGGUGAGGAAUACAUGGGUAACCUACCCUUGAGUGGGGAAGUAACUAGCCGAAAGGUUAGCUAAUACCGCGUACGCUUCCUGGACUUCGGUUCAGGGAGGAAAGCGAUGCCGAGGGUAUCGCGCUCUUGGAUGGGCUCAUGUCCUAUCAGCUUGUUGGNGAGGUAACGGCUCACCAAGGCUUCGACGGGUAGCUGGUCUGAGAGGACGAUCAGCCACACUGGCACUGCGACACGGGCCAGACUCCUACGGGAGGCAGCAGUAAGGAAUAUUGCGCAAUGGGCGAAAGCCUGACGCAGCGACGCCGCGUGGGGGA